ensembl:snoRNA
GUUAGUUGAAAAUCACCCGCAGCUUUUCAUGUGACCAUGUGUGAGAUUUGUGGCCCAGAGCAAGUGGGGCUUCAGCUCACCACACCCACUCUCUGAUGUGGGGAGGUGAAACCCAGUUCCGGAAGCAC